UAUAGUGAUGAAGGUUGGAUCAAUAAAAAAAAAAUUUGACGGAACAUUGAAAAUCGAAAAUUUUAUUUUGUGUAACUCUUAAAAUAUCGGGUGGAAAACUAUUCAUCCAAAAAGCAAUCAAAAUUAAAUUGAUCUUUGUAUAUUUUGACGUCAGUUGUGAUUGGAAAAAUAAUUUGAAAAUGAAAAAUUCUGUACGACUUACCUAUACCUAUACCUAAAGCUAGGUUUUUAACCUCUCGAGCUUCGAAUUUCGACACAGGUACUAAUUUAUAAAAACUAUAUAAAACAUCGACGAAUUUUUAUGAAUUCGCAACCUUCAUCAAAACAUUUGAAAACUAAUCAAGUUUUAAUUGAAAAUUACCUUAACUGGGUAUCGUCGAUUGAAUAUAAUAGCCUAGCAAAACUGUAAAGAAUUCAGUAUACUUUCGAAUAUCUUGCCAAAAUUUUCAAAAUAAAGAAUAACCGAGUGGAAAAAAAUGAGGAAAGCGUCGAUGCAAAUUAUUUUGAUAUUUUUCGUGAUGUCGAUCGAUUACAUCGCUGGAGACGAUGGCAUAGUAGAAAUAGAGUAUAACGACGCGGGUGACAUAAGAUGUGAAUGCACACGUUGUUCUCCUGUCGAAAAGGCGUACGCUGCGAACUAUAAUUUUAGAGAAGGACCAUAUAGCUAUCAUUGCGGACCAGGUGGGUUUUUCAAUAAUAUAGAAGGUUGGUGCCACUGCAAGCAAAUUGAAAGUCGCCGUCGACGACGAAUGGUGGAUGAUUUUUUGAUGAAAAUUCGGGAGUAUUGGGAGUAAUUUUUGUGAAAAUGCAGCCAAUACAUACUUGUUUUAGUUA